GUGGUCAGUGAUGAUGCCUUUCCACCCUUAGUUCGAGUGUCAUGACAAUGAGACUACUCCUUCAUGCACUACCAUCUGAGACCAC